rnacentral:rRNA from 1 species
GAUGAACGCUGGCGGCGUGCUUAAUACAUGCAAGUAGAACGCUGAAGGAAGGAGCUUGCUCUUUCCGGAUGAGUUGCGAACGGGUGAGUAACGCGUAGGUAACCUGCCUGGUAGCGGGGGAUAACUAUUGGAAACGAUAGCUAAUACCGCAUAACAGUAGAUGUUGUAUGAUAUCUACUUAAAAGGUGCAAUUGCACCACUACCAGAUGGACCUGCGUUGUAUUAGCUAGUUGGUGAGGUAACGGCUCACCAAGGCGACGAUACAUAGCCGAACUGAGAGGGUGAUCGGCCACACUGGGACUGAGACACGGCUCAGAGUCCUGCGGGUGGGAGCAGUAGCGAAUCUUCGGCAAUGGGCGGGAGACUGAACGAACAACGCCGCAGGAGUAACGAAGGUUGUCGGUUCGUAGAGCUCGGUUGUAGGAGAAGAACGAGUGGGAGAGUGGGAAGUACACAGUGUGACGGUAUCUUACCAGAAAGGGACGGCUAACUACGUG